rnacentral:ribozyme from 1 species
AAUUAAGGAUGCUGCUGUCCUUACAAAAGAUCUGAUACAGGAUGCCGCGCAGAACGACCGAAGCAGCGAUGACGAUGGCGAAGCGUACAGGAUCGA